rnacentral:rRNA from 1 species
GACGAACGCUGGCGGCGUGCUUAACACAUGCAAGUCGAACGGAAAGGCCCUGCUUUUGUGGGGUGCUCGAGUGGCGAACGGGUGAGUAACACGUGAGUAACCUGCCCUUGACUUUGGGAUAACUUCAGGAAACUGGGGCUAAUACCGGAUAGGAGCUCCUGCUGCAUGGUGGGGGUUGGAAAGUUUCGGCGGUUGGGGAUGGACUCGCGGCUUAUCAGCUUGUUGGUGGGGUAGUGGCUUACCAAGGCUUUGACGGGUAGCCGGCCUGAGAGGGUGACCGGCCACAUUGGGACUGAGAUACGGCCCAGACUCCUACGGGAGGCGGCAGUGGGAAAUAUUGCACAAUGGGCGGAAGCCUGAUGCAGCAACGCCGCGUGCGGGAUGACGGCCUUCGGGUUGUAAACCGCUUUCGCCUGUGACGAAGCGUGAGUGACGGUAAUGGGUAAAGAAGCACCGGCUAACUACGUG